rnacentral:rRNA from 1 species
UCCGUAGGCGGGCAAUUAAGUCAGAGGUGAAAUCCCACAGCUUAACUGUGGAACUGCCUUAGAUACUGGUUAUCUUGAGUUUUAGUGAAGUAGAUAGAAUGUGUAGUGUAGCGGUGAAAUGCAUAGAUAUUACACAGAAUACCGAUUGCGAAGGCAGUCUACUAACUAACAACUGACGCUAAUGGACGAAAGCGUGGGGAGCGAACAGGAUUAGAUACCCUGGUAGUCC